rnacentral:lncRNA from 10 species
GAAGUUCAAAACCAGGUAGAACGAAUCUAUGGUGAUAGAAAUCAGAAUAUUGAUUACUUUUGAUGGGUAAGGUUUGUGGGAAGGGAAAGUGAGGAAAUAUUCGGGAGUAUUGAAAGUGUCCUGGCCGGGCGAGGUGGUUCACACCUGUAAUCCUAGCUCUUCGGGAGGCCUUACUCUCAGUUCACCCAUUCUUCUUCCGUAUGACAUAAGUGACCUUUCAGAACUCAAGACUCUGGCCAGGCGCUGCCUCACGCCUGUAAUCCCAGAGCGCCACCGCACCUGGCCAAUUUUUACAUUUUAAUAUAAAGCAUUGUAUUAUGCUGUUUAUUAGGUGCUAGGGAUAUAGUAGUGAGGAAGAUACAGAGCCACUUUUCUCAAUGUCCUGAACAUAACCACCAGCACAGCCUUGUUCUGCGAAAGUGAUUAAAAGUGCCAAAUAUUCAAUCCAUACUAUAUUGUUUCAGAGUUGAUAUAUUUUCCCUUUUUCAUCUAUUCAAGACAAAUAUAUGGAUCACCAGUAUUGUGCUAUAAGUACUGUGCUUUGUGCAGCUAUCCAAUUAUUAGUAAGAAUAUAUAAAAUAUAUAUAUAUAAAUAAAUAUAUAUAUUUAUAUAUAUAAUAUAUAUAUUUUAUAACUAUUAAUAAUAGAAAUUUCUUUAAAAAAUACAGCGUGCUUCCCCUCGAACGCUUUCUACAAGAUCCACUGCAAAUCAGUCUUUCCGGAAAGUGGUCAAAAAUACAUCUGGAAAAACUAGGUAAGGA